AUUAUAUUUGACUCAUGUUUUAAAAUGUCCUGUAGACAAGAGAUCCUGGGCUUGAUUUCUAGAUAUCCCCAGGAGACAUUCCUCUACAAGUGAAAGUAGUUUUUAUAUAGAGUAUUAUAGAGGCUAUAAUAGGGUGUGGUAAUGCAAUAUACUGAGGUCUCAUGCACUAGGUGAUUUUUUUCUGCCUUUGGCUACGAGUGUUACAUCAGCCUAAAUAAUUUGUUUUUUUGUUUGUUUGUUUUUUAAUUUGGAAAAGGAAAGAAAAUUCACCAAUAUUGUUUGUGAUAUGGCUACAGAAUCCCCUGUUGUCUGAGGGUUCCAGAAAGCUGUGUGUCCAACAUACAAUAUCCUUUGUUUCUAAGCAUCUGUAGCCAUCCUUCAAGUGGGCUGUUAGCGAAGCAAUCAUGUUCCACACUCUUAUGCAGCCUGGGAAUUGAAGGACAAUUUGGCCUCUUUGUCAUUUUCAAAAAUCAAAUAUGCCCAGGGACCGAGUUCCAGCGGCAGCUGUUUUUGCUUUAUGUUUUAUUUAAAAACAUUUAAUUUUGAGUCUCUUAUGUUUCCAGUGAUUUUUCUCCCUCUUGGUAGAGCAAUCUCUACACAUAUAUAAAGUAUCCUCCAUUUAUACAAAGUGGUCCUUCAUUAAUUCCUAGGUUUUUAACUUUUCAUCUUGCUUUUGACAGUAUUUGAUACAUUAAAAUGAUCAGUAAUUGCUAUAAUAAUUUCUAUUGAAAAAUAAUAACAACUAUACAAUAUAUAGCAAGUUAUCAUUUUGUGGCAAGCUUUCAUUACAUGGUUUAUAUAUAUUUUAUCACUGACUUUACUAAAUUUUUAUGAAGCAGACAUGAACCUAAUAUCUCUUUCUAGAUAGAGUCUCAGAGAGGGGACUCACUCAGUAAGCGACCUGUCCAAAGGGUUAUGACCAACGAACUUAGAAGCUCAAGUUUUAACCAGGCCAGACUGGACAUGAAUGUCUUCUAGAUCCUCCUGCCUUAACUUCUCAAUGCUGGGAUUUUAGAUCUAUGUCACCCUAUGCAGGACAAAGAAUAAGCAAGCAAGCAAGUAAGUAAAACUACAUCCCCUUCGCCCCUGGCAAACAACAACAACAACAACAACAACAACAACAACAACAACAACAACAACAAAACAACCAACAAAAAAAAAGCAAAACAAACAAACCUGAGGAUAGGAAGAGAACAAGAAACAAGCACAAGUCAAAAAUCAUCAGCACUUCAGGUAGAAUGGGGCAUAGAUAUAUAUGUAAUACAAAAUGAUGCCAUCUUGGAUCUGUCUCUUUAAAAACAACGUACGAAGUUGUGGCAAAGCAAAAAUGAAGAAAUGGUGAGCAGACAGUUGUGUAACUAACAAAACAGAUAUCUUCUCUCAGAGGGGAGUUACUAUCUAUAUUACACAACUCUGCCGAAGUCUCUACAAGGGUGAUAGAAUUAGUCGGGUCUAGUGGGAGGAAGACUGUCCUGGGACCUAGGUUACACUCUUUCUCUGUCUUAAGCUCUUAAGCUAAUUGGCACUGAAUUUUAUUACAAACAAGUGUAAGAGCCCUGGGAAACCUUCCAUGUGUGGGAGUGGGGUAGAAGAGGGAGAAGGGGGCAGGGGAACCUUCAGCCAAGCUCAACACAAAAGACAUCGAGCUUCAGAGUAGAUCAGCACAAUAUUUUAAAAGAUUCUAACUGGAUUUCUUUUCUUGA
rnacentral:sRNA from 1 species